AUGGAUCCUGAGUUGGGAGAUGUCAAAGAGGAGGAGGGGGAUGACGUCGAUGUGAGGGCUGCAGUAGCGGAGCAAAGGAGGAGGAGGAGGCGCAGGCGCAGGCAGAUGGCACGAUGUGCUGCCGAGGAGGAACUGGAGGCAGAGUUCAACAGACGCCUUAGAUGGCGCAAAAUGUCACCCAGGAUCAGGAUUGUUGCUCCUAGUUCCGGUGUUCUGAAGAUGGAGACUUCAGACAAAAAUGGGUAUCAGUUGAUGGAAGUUGCCUACCACAUCGACUUUGAUGGUUGCAUCAACCUAACUACUGGGUGGAAGGAGUUUGUUGCAGAGUCUGGAUUUGAGGAUGGUGAUGUGGUUAUGGCUUGA
rnacentral:rRNA from 1 species